UACGAAGGGGAGCUAGCGUUGUUCGGAUUUACUGGGCGUAAAGCGCACGUAGGCGGAUCGUUAAGUUGGGGGUGAAAUCCUGGAGCUCAACUCCAGAACUGCCUUCAAUACUGGCGAUCUAGAGUCCGGAAGAGGUGAGUGGAACUCCUAGUGUAGAGGUGGAAUUCGUAGAUAUUAGGAAGAACACCAGUGGCGAAGGCGGCUCACUGGUCCGGUACUGACGCUGAGGUGCGAAAGCGUGGGGAGCAAACAGG
rnacentral:rRNA from 1 species